rnacentral:rRNA from 1 species
AGGAAUAUUGGUCAAUGGGCGAGAGCCUGAACCAGCCAAGUCGCGUGAGGGAAGAAUGGUCUAUGGCCUGUAAACCUCUUUUGUCAGGGAAGAAUAAGGAUGACGAGUCAUUCGAUGCCAGUACUUGACGAAUAAGCAUCGGCUAACUCCGUGCCAGCAGCCGCGGUAAUACGGGGGAUGCGAGCGUUAUCCGGAUUUAUUGGGUUUAAAGGGCGCGUAGGCGGGACGUCAAGUCAGCGGUAAAAGACUGCAGCUAAACUGUAGCACGCCGUUGAAACUGGCGCCCUGGAGACGAGACGAGGGAGGCGGAACAAGUGAAGUAGCGGUGAAAUGCAUAGAUAUCACUUGGAACCCCGAUAGCGAAGGCAGCUUCCCAGGCUCGUUCUGACGCUGAUGCGCGAGAGCGUGGGUAGCGAACAGGAUUAGAUACCCUGGUAGUCCACGCCGUAAACGAUGCUCACUGGAUCUUGGCGAUACACGGCCAGGGUUCAAGCGAAAGUAUUAAGUGAGCCACCUGGGGAGUACGUCGGCAACGAUGAAACUCAAAGGAAUUGACGGGGGCCCGCACAAGCGGAGGAACAUGUGGUUUAAUUCGAUGAUACGCGAGGAACCUUACCCGGGUUUAAAUGUAGAUUGCAUGAGGUGGAAACACUUCUUCCCUUCGGGGCUAUUUACAAGGUGCUGCAUGGUUGUCGUCAGCUCGUGCCGUGAGGUGUCGGGUUAAGUCCCAUAACGAGCGCAACCCCUAUCGCCAGUUGCCAUCGGUUGAAGCCGGGCACUCUGUCGAGACUGCCACCGUAAGGUGCGAGGAAGGCGGGGAUGACGUCAAAUCAGCACGGCCCUUACACCCGGGGCGACACACGUGUUACAAUGGCCGGUACAGAGGGCAGCCACGGGGUGACCCGGAGCGAAUCUCUAAAGCCGGUCGUAGUUCGGACUGGAGUCUGCAACCCGACUCCACGAAGUUGGAUUCGCUAGUAAUCGCGCAUCAGCCAUGGCGCGGUGAAUACGUUCCCG